rnacentral:tRNA from 1 species
GGUUGUGGCUCAGUGGCAGAGUGCUUGCCUAGCAUACAUGAGGCACUGGGUUCGAUCCCUGGUACCA